rnacentral:rRNA from 1 species
GACGAACGCUGGCGGCGUGCUUAACACAUGCAAGUCGAACGGAAAGGCCCUGCUUUUGUGGGUUGCUCGAUUGGCGAACGGGUGAGUAACACGUGAGUAACCUGCCCUUGACUUUGGGAUAACUUCAGGAAACUGGGGCUAAUACCGGAUAGGAGCUCCUGCUGCAUGUUGUUGGUUGGAAAGUUUCGGCCGUUCGGGAUGUACUCGCUGCUUCUCCGCUUGUUUGUGAGGUAGUUGCUUACCAAGGGUUUGACGGAUAGCCGGCAUGAGAGCGUGACCGGGGACAGUGGGACUAAGAUACGGACCAGAAGGGUACGGGAGGCAACAGGGGGGAGUAUUGCAGAGUGGGCGGGAGUCAGAGGCAGAAGCGUCGGGAGCGGGAAGACGGGUUACGAGGUGUAAACAGAUGUCGAAGGAGACGAAGAGAGAGUGACGGUAAUGAAUAAAGAAGCAACGGCUAACUACGUG